UACGUAGGGCGCAAGCGUUGUCCGGAAUUAUUGGGCGUAAAGAGCUCGUAGGUGGUCUGUCGCGUCUGCCGUGAAAACCCGAGGCUUAACCUCGUGGCUUGCGGUGGAUACGGGCAGACUAGAGGUAGGUAGGGGAGAAUGGAAUUCCCGGUGUAGCGGUGAAAUGCGCAGAUAUCGGGAGGAACACCGGUGGCGAAGGCGGUUCUCUGGGCCUUACCUGACGCUGAGGUGCGAAAGCGUGGGGAGCAAACAGG
rnacentral:rRNA from 1 species